CAGGAGACCAAGAAGCAUGGAUACUGUCUGUCUUGACAAUAACCUGGAUGUUCUUCACAGGGGAUGGCACAGUAGAUCCAUUUAUGCGAAAUUCCGGGGUACUCUUAUUUCCAGCAACUGCAGUGAGGACAAUGUUGUAUUUAUUCCCAGGGACCAGGCCAGUAAAAGUUUCUUCGGUUUUUGAAAAUCUUCCUGGUAUGGAGGAUUCUUGUAGCUUUUUAUUACUGUGAUCAAAUACUACUAUA
rnacentral:lncRNA from 1 species